UACGUAGGGUGCAAGCGUUAAUCGGAAUUACUGGGCGUAAAGCGUGCGCAGGCGGUUUUGUAAGUCUGUCGUGAAAGCCCCGGGCUUAACCUGGGAAUUGCGAUGGAGACUGCAAGGCUUGAAUCUGGCAGAGGGGGGUAGAAUUCCACGUGUAGCAGUGAAAUGCGUAGAUAUCUGGAGGAACACCGGUGGCGAAGGCGGCAUCCUGGACCAACACUGACACUGAGGAGCGAAGGCCAGGGGAGCAAACGGG
rnacentral:rRNA from 1 species